rnacentral:misc_RNA from 1 species
GAUGAAGAACGUAGCGAAAUGCGAUAAGUAAUGUGAAUUGCAGAAUUCAGUGAAUCAUCGAAUCUUUGAACGCACAUUGCGCCCGUCAGUAUUCUGGCGGGCAUGCCUGUUCGAGCGUCAUUACGCCCCUCAAGUCCCCUGUGGACUUGGUGUUGGGGAUCGGCGAGGCUGGUUUUCCAGCACAGCCGUCCCUUAAAUUAAUUGGCGGUCUCGCCGUGGCCCUCCUCUGCGCAGUAGUAAAACACUCGCAACAGGAGCCCGGCGCGGUCCACUGCCGUAAAACCCCCCAACUUUUUAUAGUUGACCUCGAAUCAGGUAGGACUACCCGCUGAACUUAAGCAUAUCAAAAGCGGAGGA